rnacentral:rRNA from 1 species
UACGGAGGGUGCAAACGUUGCUCGGAAUCAUUGGGCGUAAAGCGCACGUAGGCGGCCUGUUAAGUCGGAUGUGAAAGCCCCCGGCUCAACUGGGGAGGGUCAUUCGAUACUGAUCGACUCGAAGGCAGGAGAGGGUAGUGGAAUUCCCGGUGUAGUGGUGAAAUGCGUAGAUAUCGGGAGGAACACCAGUGGCGAAGGCGGCUACCUGGCCCACUCUUGACG